rnacentral:rRNA from 1 species
UACGAAGGGGGCUAGCGUUGCUCGGAUUGACUGGGCGUAAAGGGCGCGUAGGCGGUUCGUACAGUCAGACGUGAAAUUCCUGGGCUCAACCUGGGGGCUGCGUUUGAUACGUGCGGACUUGAGUGCGGAAGAGGGUCGUGGAAUUCCCAGUGUAGAGGUGAAAUUCGUAGAUAUUGGGAAGAACACCGGUGGCGAAGGCGGCGACCUGGUCCAUUACUGACGCUGAGGCGCGACAGCGUGGGGAGCAAACAGG